UACGUAGGGGGCUAGCGUUGUCCGGAAUCAUUGGGCGUAAAGAGCGUGUAGGCGGUCCGGUAAGUCCGCUGUGAAAGUCGGGGGCUCAACCCUCGAAUGCCGGUGGAUACUGUCGGGCUAGAGUGCGGAAGAGGCGAGUGGAAUUCCUGGUGUAGCGGUGAAAUGCGCAGAUAUCAGGAGGAACACCGAUGGCGAAGGCAGUUCUCUGGGCCGUAACUGACGCUGAGGAGCGAAAGCGUGGGGAGCGAACAGG
rnacentral:rRNA from 1 species